rnacentral:sRNA from 1 species
CAGCCGAGCUUCCUCCUCCGCGAACGC